UGGGGAAUAUUGGACAAUGGACCAAGAGUCUGAUCCAGCAAUUCUGUGUGCACGAUGACGUUUUUCGGAAUGUAAAGUGCUUUCAGUUGGGAAGAAAAAAAUGACGGUACCAACAGAAGAAGUGACGGCUAAAUACGUGCCAGCAGCCGCGGUAAUACGUAUGUCACGAGCGUUAUCCGGAUUUAUUGGGCGUAAAGCGCGUCUAGGUGGUUAUGUAAGUCUGAUGUGAAAAUGCAGGGCUCAACUCUGUAUUGCGUUGGAAACUGUGUAACUAGAGUACUGGAGAGGUAAGCGGAACUACAAGUGUAGAGGUGAAAUUCGUAGAUAUUUGUAGGAAUGCCGAUGGGGAAGCCAGCUUACUGGACAGAUACUGACGCUGAGGCGCGAAAGCGUGGGUAGCAAACAGGAUUAGAUACCCUGGUAGUCCACGCCGUAAACGAUGAUUACUAGGUGUUGGGGGUCGAACCUCAGCGCCCAAGCAAACGCGAUAAGUAAUCCGCCUGGGGAGUACGUACGCAAGUAUG
rnacentral:rRNA from 1 species